rnacentral:lncRNA from 1 species
GCGCAUUGGUUAAGUGAUGAGCCUGUUGAGCAUGAGGUCUCUGGUUCGAGCCCCGUUGGUGGGCAUUUUUUUGGGUUUUGAUGAUUUAAGGUUGGAUUGCCUUUUUAUAUUUAUAAAUUAAGUGCAUAACUCCAACAAACCCUCUAUUCCAGCGCAAUGGUUAAGGCACAACUGUAUGAAGCCCGUGGUCUACGGUUCGAGCCCCAUCAGGGCCUUUUUUUGGUGAAUUUUUUUAUGCUUUUUUUCCUACCGUUUUAUUCCUCCUGUUGCUCUGUACUUAUCCCCACUCCUCUUCCCGUUGCUCUGUACUCUGCUCACUCAUCUCUUCCCCAGCACAUCGCCCGUACUCCUCUUUCUCCAGCACAUCGCCGGCGGUGAGGGCGGCGAGCACUUGCGCAGGCGGGGCUCGAAGCUUAGCUAGGUAGACAGUGGCAGCUCCCCCUCCC